rnacentral:rRNA from 1 species
UACGUAGGGGGCAAGCGUUGUCCGGAAUCAUUGGGCGUAAAGCGCGUGUAGGCGGCCCGGUAAGUCCGCUGUGAAAGUCGGGGGCUCAACCCUCGAAUGCCGGUGGAUACUGUCGGGCUAGAGUGCGGAAGAGGCGAGUGGAAUUCCUGGUGUAGCGGUGAAAUGCGCAGAUAUCGUAAGGAAGACCAGUGGCGAAGGCGGGUCUCUGGACAGUUACUGACACUGAGGCACGAAGGCCAGGGGAGCAAACGGG